rnacentral:lncRNA from 1 species
AAACUUGUUCUUCCUAUUUUUCAAGUAUGUACCUUUCCUUUCAAUGUAUUAUUUAAAAAAAAAAAAUAUGAUUUAAGUUAAGUCCCGAGUGUGAAAAUUUUCGUAUUAUCUAUUCCCCUCGAUUUUCUUAAGCCAUAACAAAAAUUUAACACACUCAGUAAGUAUAAAGGUUGCUUAUUUUAUAAAACUUGAGUGAAAUCAAG